UACGGAAGGGGCAAGCGUUGUUCGGAAUUAUUGGGCGUAAAGGGCGCGUAGGCGGUCUUGUGUGUCUGCUGUGAAAGCCCACGGCUCAACCGUGGAGGGUCGGUAGAAACUGCAAGACUUGAGGCUGGGAGGGGCUGGUGGAAUUCCCUGUGUAGCGGUGAAAUGCGUAGAUAUAGGGGAGAACACUCGUGGCGAAGGCGGCCAGCUAGACCAGUCCUGACGCUGAGGCGCGACAGCGUGGGGAGCAAACAGG
rnacentral:rRNA from 1 species